UACGUAGGGUGCGAGCGUUGUCCGGAAUUAUUGGGCGUAAAGCGCGUGUAGGCGGCUCGGUAAGUCUGCUGUGAAAGUCCAGGGCUCAACCCUGGGAUGCCGGUGGAUACUGUCGAGCUCGAGUCCGGAAGAGGCGAGUGGAAUUCCUGGUGUAGCGGUGAAAUGCGCAGAUAUCAGGAGGAACACCAAUGGCGAAGGCAGCUCGCUGGGACGUGACUGACGCUGAGACGCGAAAGCGUGGGGAGCAAACAGG
rnacentral:rRNA from 1 species